UACGAAGGGGGCGAGCGCUGUUCGGAAUUACUGGGCGUAAAGGGCGCGCAGGCGGCUCUGAAAGUCAGAUGUGAAAGCCCCGGGCUUAACCUGGGAACUGCAUUUGAUACUCUAGAGCUUGAGUACGGGAGAGGAGAGUGGAAUUCCCAGUGUAGAGGUGAAAUUCGUAGAUAUUGGGAAGAACACCGGUGGCGAAGGCGGCUCUCUGGACCGUAACUGACGCUGAGGCGCGAAAGCGUGGGGAGCAAACAGG
rnacentral:rRNA from 1 species